rnacentral:rRNA from 1 species
UACGAAGGGAGCUAGCGUUGUUCGGAAUCACUGGGCGUAAAGCGCACGUUGGCGGAUGUGUCAGUCAGGGGUGAAAUCCCGGAGCUCAACUUCGGAACUGCCUUUGAUACAGCACGUCUUGAGUCCGAUAGAGGUGGGUGGAAUUCCUAGUGUAGAGGUGAAAUUCGUAGAUAUUAGGAAGAACACCGGUGGCGAAGGCGGCCCACUGGAUCGGUACUGACGCUGAGGUGCGAAAGCGUGGGGAGCAAACAGG